AACAUACUCCCUCCGUCCUAAAAUUCUUGUCUUGUGUUUGUCUAAAAAUAGAUAUAUCUAGAUACUAAAACGUGACUAGAUACAUUUAUAUCUAACAAAUUUAAGACAAGAAUUUUGGGACGGAGGGAGUACUUC
rfam:Hordeum vulgare subsp. vulgare, WGS project CAJW01000000 data, contig: morex_contig_2550381